AUUGUGAUCCCGGGAAAACAAUCGGGGUGGUUCUAGUCGGUGAGCCUGGGAAAACUGACCGAGUUCGUUGUGCGCUCGUAAAACAACAAGUUAGGUUGUGAGCUUGUAAAACAACCGGCUGUAAUCUGUAGGAUUAUAGUGAAAUUCCCAAGAAGUCUUGGGGAGUGGAUGUAGGUGCUGGGGUGCACCGAACCACUAUAUGUUUGUUGUGUUUGUAAUGCCUCUUGUCAUUGUCUAACUAACACACUUACUUACUUAGAUAAA
rnacentral:lncRNA from 1 species